rnacentral:rRNA from 1 species
UACAGAGGCCUCGAGCGUUAGGCGGAAUCACUGGGCUUAAAGCGCGUGUAGGCGGAUGCCUAAGUACCUUGUGAAAUCCCACGGCUCACCCGUGGAACUGCUUGGUAUACUGGGUGUCUUGAGCCACUUAGGGGCUACCGGAACAAAUGGUGGAGCGGUGAAAUGCGUAGAUAUCAUUUGGAACGCCAACGGUGAAAACAGGUAGCUGGGAGUGUGCUGACGCUGAGACACGAAAGCCAGGGGAGCAAACGGG